rnacentral:rRNA from 1 species
GCGUGAGUGAGGAAGGCCUUCAGGUCGUAAAGCUCUGUCAGUAGGGAAGAAAUGCUAUAUGGUUAAUACCUGUAUAGUUUGACGGUACCUGCAAAGGAAGCACCGGCUAACUCCGUGCCAGCAGCCGCGGUAAUACGGAGGGUGCAAGCGUUGUUCGGAAUCACUGGGCGUAAAGGGAGCGCAGGCGGUUUGUCAAGUCAGAUGUGAAAGCCCACGGCUCAACCGUGGAAGUGCAUUUGAAACUGGCAGACUUGAGUAUCAGAGGGGAAAGUGGAAUUCCCGGUGUAGAGGUGAAAUUCGUAGAUAUCGGGAGGAAUACCGGUGGCGAAGGCGACUUUCUGGCUGAAUACUGACGCUGAGGCUCGAAAGCGUGGGGAGCAAACAGGAUUAGAUACCCUGGUAGUCCACGCCGUAAACGAUGUGCACUAGAUGUAGGAGGUAUUGAUCCCUUCUGUGUCGCAGCUAACGCAUUAAGUGCACCGCCUGGGGAGUACGGUCGCAAGAUU